UCUCUCACUUUCUUCUUUUCUUUUCCCUAAUUUCUCUCUUUCCUCUGUCGAGAAAACACAAAACAGUGAAUUCGAUUGCUUGAUCCGGCUUAAAAAACACAACGAAACUAUCAAAAAUCACGAGAUCCAGAUCUCAAUCACAGAUCCACAGUAAGCUAUGAGGAGAGUUACCGGACUUGCUGGGCGCACAAUCUCAUCUUCCGUCACAAUCCAUCCACAACGAUUUUAAUGAUCUCGCAGUGGAUACGUUGCGGUGGUGGGGAUGCCUAACGUUGGGAAAAUGAUUGGUCAGAAAAUUUCGAUUGUUAGAGAUAAAACUCAAACCAUGAGGCAUAGGAGUCUUGGUAUAUGUUCUAGCCCUCAAUAUGAGAUGAUACUCUUUGAUACCCCUGGUGUAAUCGAGAAGAAGAUGCACAAGAUCAUACAAUGAUGAUGAAGAAUGUCAGAGACGCUGCCAUCAAUGCUGAUUGUGUUGUUGUUCUCGUUGAUGCUUGUAAAACGCCUGCUAAAAUAGAAGAAGUUUUGAAAGAGGGUUUGGGAGACUUAGAAAAAAAGCCACCGAUGUUGCUUGUUAUGAAUAAGAAAGAUCUGAUCAAACUUGGUGAGAUUGCCAAGAAACUGGAGCAGGAGUAGCUCCGAGAUGGUUUUGAAGAAUGAAUUCAACAGUUGGCUCUCUCCUCCUACAUACCGAAUCAACCACAUAGGUUAACAAUUACAGUUUUGUUGGGUUUAAUUACAAUUACAGUUUUUUUUUUUAAGUUUCAUCUUAU